AUUGAACGCUGGCGGCAUGCCUUACACAUGCAAGUCGAACGGCAGCACGGAAUUCGCUCUCUCUGAGGGUGGGGGACGGGUGAGUGAUACAUCAGAACGUACGCUGCUAUUGGGUAGUAGGGGUUAAAAUAUGAACUCAUACGCCAUACCACCUGAGGACGAACGGGGGUGACCAGAGGACCUCCGGCCCCUGGACGGUUCGAUGAUGGGUUAGCGAGUUGGUGGGGUAAAGGCCCACCAAGGCGACGAUCCGUAGCUGGUCUGAGAGGAGGAUCAGCCACACUGGAACUGAGACACGGCCCAGACUCCUACGGGAGGCAGCAGUGGGGAAUUUUGGACAAUGGGCGCAAGCCUGAUCCAGCAAUGCCGCGUGUGUGAAGAAGGCCUUCGGGUUGUAAAGCACUUUUGUCCGGAAAGAAAUGCAGCUGGUUAAUACCUCGCGGUGAGGACGGUACCGGAAGAAUAAGCACCGGCUAACUUCGUG
rnacentral:rRNA from 1 species